ACCAGAGAGAUAACAACAAGAGUUCGCAAAUGGAAAGUGGCAGAGAUGUAAAGGUAAAUGUUGCUUGUUUUCUAUCUAUUUCUUCGCAACACCCAUUAUUGUUUUGUCAAUUUUUCACGAGUAAAAGAGGCAAAGUGUUGAGGCCGAGGUUGGGGGACCAGACACCCCCCCCCCCCCCACGCCAAUGCGUUGAGAAUGAGCAUUUACGCAGCUUUGAUGAUGAUAUUGACGGUCAUCUCUGCCUCUGACGGAAAAACGCCACGACUUCGUUGAAGUUUAGGGCGAUUUUCACAUGCUCCUGCAUUCAAUUCAAUUUCUUGCCAUGGGUUCCAAACUUUUUUGGUUGCGUUUUUCAUGCCAUAUAGGCUGUGCCUGUGUGGCUGUAAUUAAUAUGAUUGGAAGGCUACACUUGGAUUAAUAAAUACGAGGAAGUCAGAUGGUUGCUUUGCUGAAACAGGUGGCCUGGCAUUGGUGGCCCUUUGGCUUUGGGCUCCAGAGACGGAGAUGUAUCGAUCGGGAGGGGGCAGCUUCAAUUCUCCUUGUAAUUCUGGACAGCUGCUAAAACCUUUCACCUAAAAACGUGCUGCUCUAGUUUUCUAUCGAGUUAUGCUUGUAGAACACAAUCGCACACAUGAAUAUUACAAACUCAGCUCAGCAAUCAGCAUACGAGUGUCGGUUCAUUCUUCGUAUCCAUUAAUUAUUAACGGUGUGCUUGUCUUCAUUCAAACGGAUGAUCAACAAAAGCUAUCUAACACUUGUAUAAGCUGCCUUUUUACCCAUGAUUUUGCGACCAGCUGUAGAAUUUCGUCUCUUUCUUCUGUGCCAUUUUUGUGCACUAUAUAUACAUCUCUGGUUGACAAAAACGGCCGCUAGCUGCUAUAUUUAGAAUCUGCGCGGUGAAAAGCAAAUGACUCUUGAACUAAGAAAGUGUUGUCUAACCAAUCAGUAGCACAAAAAAUGUAAAUAAAUCUGAAAAUGUUAGCUAGGCAAAUCAUCAACCAGCAAUGACUGAUGAUAUUCCAAACUCGUGAGCUUGUAAUUUUAGCAUAUGGCUUGUAUUGGCCCUCUGCCAGAAGUGAUGGCUGCGAUGAACUGGUCAAAAUUAUAUGCAUAUAUCCAUUGAGAGGGAAGCAACGCAAUAACCACAUAUAAUUGUACUGAACAUGUAUUUUCGGACCGUGGUGUAAUUGUGCCAAGUGGUUUUUGCCCCCGACUUCUUCUCUAUUAGUGAUCGGAAGAAAAUUUUUUAUCCGAACCUCUUCGAGUACUAAGCAGAAGUUUUCUUAACAUGGCUGGGUGAAAUUAAAUCGGUCUUCUGAAGGUAAAGUGCACAGCCUUGCUUAUUUGGCUUUCCAUUUCUUCGUAGGAGAAAUAGCAAUGCUGCGACAUGAAAAUAUCUCGUUCGAGAAGCUCGGAAAAGUAAUUUAUCCAUAGCCAGCCAGCCUGGUCUCCUUAGAAGGGGCCGGCCAACGUUGGGUUUUUCACUUCUGAAGAACAGAUCCACGCGUGGGCAGAACAUCAUCAGCUGAAAUGGUAUCUUUUGUUCCACAGAGCUAGGCCCAACAAUCCAAUUUUGUUAUUCGACGAAAGGAGCCCAACCCAAACUCCAAGUGUUCUGUGCAUACGCAAUGAUCGGCCAGCUAGUUUGAGGCGUGAUCAAAAUUUCCACUUCUUGGGUUGGGGGCAUGGAUAGGUGCAGCUUUGACAGCUACUACUUGCCUUCCUAAAAUGUAAACACAAAUUCACACUUUUUGUUUGUUUGUUUGUUUGAUAAGGAAAAA
rnacentral:lncRNA from 1 species